rnacentral:rRNA from 1 species
GAUGAACGCUGGCGGCGUGCCUAAUACAUGCAAGUCGAGCGAACGGACGAGAAGCUUGCUUUUCUGAUGUUAGCGGCUGACGGGUGAGUAACACGUGGAUAACCUACCUAUAAGACUGGGAUAACUUCGGGAAACCGGAGCUAAUACCGGAUAAUAUUUUGAACGGCAUGGUUCAAAAGUGAAAGACGGUCUUGCUGUCACUUAUAGAUGGAUCCGCGCUGCAUUAGCUAGUUGGUAAGGUAACGGCUUACCAAGGCAACGAUGCAUAGCCGACCUGAGAGGGUGAUCGGCCACACUGGAACUGAGACACGGUCCAGACUCCUACGGGAGGCAGCAGUAGGGAAUCUUCCGCAAUGGGCGAAAGCCUGACGGAGCAAUGCCGCGUGAGUGAUGAAGGUCUUCGGAUCGUAAAACUCUGUUAUUAGGGAAGAACAUCUGUGUAAGUAACUGUGCACAUCUUGACGGUACCUAAUCAGAAAGCCACGGCUAACUACGUG